rnacentral:lncRNA from 1 species
AUACCAAAAAACUUGCAAACUAAUGAGGACCAUAAUAAGGAACUCCAGUAUAAGAUAUGACUCAUUGCUCUUGGUGUAAUCCCCAAGGACCAGAAGCUCUACUUGAAAUGCAUUCCCCAGAAAGGAGAAGACAAACUUCAGGAGCUAAGAGGCUUCCACAGUCACAUUUCUACUGCACAGCAGAAUGAGCAUCUGGUUUACAAGUCCAGUAUCUUCUUUGUGAAGAUAUCUAGAGGAGAAGCAGCCAGAGGAGGUAAGGGGAGCUUAGGGCAGGUGUAUUCAUGAGAGCUCUGCCCAGAAUCUUGCGG